GUGGAAGAGCACUUUAGAGGGGUGGGGACCCUUAAACACUGUGUAGAGGGCUUAGUGGAGCUGAGCCUGGGAAGGGAAAAGAAAAGAGGUGGAAAGAGUUUAAGAGUUUAAGAGCCAAAGGUCGGAAGGAGUUGGAUCAAAACAAUGACAUGUUCUCAUGAUAUGGUCGUUGAACUCACAAACUCAGUGCAGUUGGUGUCCAGCAGAAGAGCAAACCACUCAACAUUCCGCACGGAUGUCGUAGGGCACUGAAGCCCCUGCCUGCAGCUGAGAAGAUUCUGUCACUUGAGAACUGCUAGGGAUGGGUUUUCUUUAGGGGUAUGGUCCCUAGUGAGUGGACCAUGCUGCAGUGGUGGCCCCUCACUCAUGAGUAGGCUUCGCUGUAUUCAAGGGAUUAUUCACUGACCAGAUUUACAAUGCCAGGCAAUAGUUUCCUCUUUUAGUGCGGACCUUGAAUCCACCCAGAAAAUGAUUGGUGAUCCUCAUUACAUUCCUGCCAUUUAUGGCACACCCAUGAGUACAUCUUGCCAGGGCUUUUGUUAUGUAGCCCUGAGUAGUCACAGUGGAGUGAGAAUAGUCUGCAUAGCAUCUUCUAGCAUCAUAAAGCUAGCAGGGGUGGAAGCUUCCUGCUAAGUACUGUGCAGGCAGGUCUGUGUGAUUUCUUCAAGUUCUUUGACCUACAUGUGUGGUGUCAUCAGCUAUAGGAUCUUACCAUCACAUUCUGAUGGGUAGCCCUGAGCAAUGAGAAUUGACAACUCUGGUAUCAUCUCUGUGACAUCCUCGACCAACAACUUGAGAGCAAGGUGUCCUACAUCUACCUCUGGACUUGUAGCCAGUGGAAGGAGAAUUAACCACCUUGUAACGUUCGUUGUAAGUUGGCAAGUAGCUUUUCAUAUGGCUUUUGUAUUUUAAUGUUCGUGGACGUUUUACCUACUUGUAUGUCUGUGUGAGGCUGUCAGAAGUCCUGGAACUGAAGUUACAAGCAGGGGUGAGUUACCAUGGGCGAGUAGGUGCUGGGAAUUGAACCCAGGACCUCUGGAAGAGCAGCUUAUGCCCUUAACUGUCCGUCUCUCUGGCCCUUCAUAUGGCUUUUUCAAAUAUCCUUAGUGUUAGUUAGUUCUUCUUCAUCCUCUUCCCUGCAAUCCUAAAGAUUUUAAACCAGUGUUUCAUUUAUGCAUUAUUUAACUAUUGAUCUAAAUUGGUAGAAAAGAUUAAAAAAAAGCAUGGUUUACAAAAUUAUAUUUGUAAUUUGAAGACGGAAUUCUAAAGGCGAUUAUGUUCAAAACGAACAUGGGGAAAUCCUAAAAAGGAUCUGGUCUCUGCCCCCUUGUUGGAACACCUUACCUGUGUUCUGAUUUUCUUCUUUUGUUUAUUUCUUUGUUUAUGGGUGUCUGCAAUUCCUUUUUGUCCACAGCUGAACACUUUCCAGGCCGUUCUGGCAUCCGAUGAAUGUGAUUACUAUGCCCUCUUUCUCUAUCCUCCCAAUGGUCUUCCGUUUUUGGAAGUCACCCCAAAGAAUCCUACAGUGUCCAGCCGCAGCUUCCUGCUAUGGUGGGAUUCUGCCAAGGGGAAGCAGAUGAGGUGAAGAGAAAAGCCCUGUAUUUCAGCCUGACUAACAGUGAGCAGUAGGUGAAGAAUCUCUACCAGACAUGGAGACUUCGAUGAUUUUAAUCUGGAGGAUGCGCUGAAAGAAACUUCCUCAGUAAAGCGUGACUCAAACAAACAAGUCCACCAAGCAAACAGAAGUGGUCGGCCAUGCACCACACUGACAAUCUUGCCUUCAGAAAAGUACACGCAUAUGAGACUAGCUGUACCUCCAUCUACCUGUUUGUUCUGUUGUGCAAGGCUUGUGUCGUUUUGUCAUACGUGUGUCAUCUUCCUUUUACAUUUAGUUUAUGUAGAGCCCACGAGAGAACGUGCAUCUGCCUUACCCUUUUUUCUGCUGUACAAAAAGAGAACUCCGACCCGUUUCAUUCCUCUCACUGUUUUGUUUUGAGACAGGGUCUCUUGAUUUAGCCAGGGUUGUCCGGAAAUUCUCUGUGCCGACAAGGCCGGCUUUGACUUGGGUCCAGUACUAGAGCAACAGUGACUCUUUGUCACUGAUGUGCAUUUCUAGCUUCAGAACCCAUGACUUUUUAUGAUUCUUCAGUGUGAUCCCCUCAAUGGCCUCGGGGACCUAUACCGAGACCAUUCUCACGAUGUGACUUCUGUAAACCAUAAAGCAGCCACUGUGUUUUACAAUCUGCUUCCUUUCGUCCUCCCUUCUCCCUUCAGAGAGCCACUUUAGCACCACGACUAGAAGGACAGGAACAACCAGAGCCUCAUCAAAUCCAGCAGAGAGAGGGGACCACAUCACCACUACUACAACAAGAAGGCCAGGAACAACUAGAGCACUGUCAAAUUCUAUGGAACUUGAUGGGUUUGACUUGGAAGAUGCCUUGGAUGAUCGGACCGAUCUAGAUGGCCCCAAAAAGAAAAGUACAGGAGAGGGAGGAGGUUGGUCAGACAAGGUUCUCGAAGAUAUCUUGGGAGGCGGGGGAUACAAACCUGACAAGAAUAAAGGUAGGAAUGUUGCUUUGUCUGGCAACACAUGGAUUCUCCUUAAAAUGCUAACCAUCCGGCCGCCAGGUAAACAUGUCACUCUCAGCCUCUGGCAAAUCAGGCUUCGACAUGUGCACUUGUCGUGUGCAGUGGGCUCUCAUUCCUGCGGGUGGGGGCUCAUUUGUGAGCCAUCCUGAGAUGCUACCCAUUUGCUCUGUUGCUCUUUAAGCCUGAGCUGGUGUCCCCACUACCUAGAUGCACCUCGUAAGCCAGUUUUCCAUGCAGUGUGAGGGUUCAAACUUAGCAUGGCACACAUUUUAAAGAAGCCCUUAGCAAAUCAGAUGUUUACAAAAUUCCUUUGGAUUCCAUUUCCCCUUCCCAGGAAGAUUCACAUUUCCCUCCUAUUGGAUCCCAGGAAGUGGAAACUCUCCUUGGGGUGUAUCGUGUGAGCGAAGAAACUAUUUUCAAUUAAAAAGACAAAAAGUUG
rnacentral:sRNA from 1 species